GACGAACGCUGGCGGCGUGCCUAAUACAUGCAAGUAGAACGCUGAAGAGAGGAGCUUACUCUUCUUGGAUGAGUUGCGAACGGGUGAGUAACGCGUAGGUAACCUGCCUUGUAGCGGGGGAUAACUAUUGGAGACGAUAGCUAAUACCGCAUAACAAUGGAUGACACAUGUCAUUUAUUUGAAAGGGGCAAUUGCUCCACUACAAGAUGGACCUGCGUUGUAUUAGCUAGUAGGUGAGGUAAUGGCUCACCUAGGCGACGAUACAUAGCCGACCUGAGAGGGUGAUCGGCCACACUGGGACUGAGACACGGCCCAGACGCCUACGGGAGGCAGCAGUAGGGAAUCUUCGGCAAUGGGGGCAACCCUGACCGAGCAACGCCGCGUGAGUGAAGAAGGUUUUCGGAUCGUAAAGCUCUGUUGUAAGUCAAGAACGGGUGUGAGAGUGGAAAGUUCACACUGUGACGGUAGCUUACCAGAAAGGGACGGCUAACUACGUG
rnacentral:rRNA from 1 species